UAGGGAAUCUUCGGCAAUGGACGGAAGUCUGACCGAGCAACGCCGCGUGAGUGAAGAAGGUCUUCGGAUCGUAAAGCUCUGUUGUUAGAGAAGAACGUUGGUAGGAGUGGAAAAUCUACCAAGUGACGGUAACUAACCAGAAAGGGACGGCUAACUACGUGCCAGCAGCCGCGGUAAUACGUAGGUCCCGAGCGUUGUCCGGAUUUAUUGGGCGUAAAGCGAGCGCAGGCGGUUCUUUAAGUCUGAAGUUAAAGGCAGUGGCUUACCCAUUGUACGCUUUGGAAACUGGAGGACUUGAGUGCAGAAGGGGAGAGUGGAAUUCCAGGUGUAGCGGUGAAAUGCGUAGAUAUAUGGAGGAACACCGGUGGCGAAAGCGGCUCUCUGGUCUGUAACUGACGCUGAGGCUCGAAAGCGUGGGGAGCAAACAGG
rnacentral:rRNA from 1 species